GGCUACCGCUAUUGGAGUUCGAUUAAGCCAUGCGAGUCUAGAGGCCUAGCCUCGGCGUACCGCUCAGUAACACGUGGGUAACCUACCCUAUGCUGGGGAAUAAGCUCGGGAAACUGAGAAUAAUACCCCAUAGUCCACUACGCCUGGAACGGUGAGUGGAUCAAAGCUCCGGCGGCAUAGGAUGGGCCUGCGGCGUAUCAGGUUGUAGGGGGUGUAAUGUACCCUCUAGCCAUCCACGCGUACGGGUGUUGGGAGACAUUGCCCGGAGAUGGAUUCUGAGACACGAAUCCAGACCCUACGGGGUGCAGCAGGCGCGAAAACUUGGCAAUGCGAGAAAUCGUGACCAGGGAACUCCAAGUGGCAGGGGUAAGACCCUGUCUUUUUCCGACUCUAAAUAGGUCGGCGAAUAAGGGGUGGGUAAGGACGGUGCCAGCCGCCGCGGUAAUACCGGCGCCUCAAGUGGUAGUCGCUUUUAUUGGGCCUAAAACGUCCGUAGCCGGUCUGGUACAUUCGUGGGUAAAUCAACUCGCUCAACGAGUUGAAUUCUGCGAGGACGGCCAGACUUGGGACCGGGAGAGGUGUGGGGUACUCUCAGGGUAGGGGUAAAAUCCUGUCAUCCUGAGAGGACCACCUGUUGCGAAGGCUCCACACUAGAACGGAUCCGACGGUCAGGGACGAAGCCUAGGGGCACGAACCGGAUUAGAUACCCGGGUAGUCCUAGGUGUAAACGCUGUGGACUUGAUGUUGGGGACGCUCCGAGCGUUCUCAGUGUCGAAGCGAAGGUGAUAAGUCCACUGCCUGGGGAGUACGGUCGCAAGGCUGAAACUUAAAGGAAUUGGCGGGGGAGCACCGCAACCUGAGGAUUGUGCGGUUU
rnacentral:rRNA from 1 species